GGAAAGUUGCAAAGUACUUUGAAGAGAGAGUUCAAGAGGACGUGAAACCGAUAGGAUGGAAGCAGAUGAAGUUGACGAACGAGUGUCGUAUUCAGGGUUGCAUCUUGUGUGCGGUCUGUUCUUGCGACCGAUGUGGGCUGGCGGCCUUGGUCAAUGCACUGUGUCAAGUUUCGAUGGAGACCCUGCGGAGGGAUAAUCGGUCGUUGCACGAUACGUGGUAUGGCUAAGGUUUCGCCGGUCUUGAAGUCAGCGCCUCAUCUGACCCGUCUUGAAACACGGACCAAGGAGUGUAGCGUUUACGCAAGUCUUAGAGUGUAUCAAAACUUUGAGGCGCAACGAAAGUAAAUGUAGUUUAAUCUACUGACUUGGGAUACGUUGUCUCUUGUGGACGGCGUUGGACCAUGGUUUUAUCGCGAUCGCUUGCGAUGCGGUGAAAAUAGAGCGUAAACGGUGCGACCCGAAA
rnacentral:rRNA from 1 species